UGUGAGACAUUUUAUUACUGAUUGAUGCU
rnacentral:piRNA from 1 species